rnacentral:rRNA from 1 species
GAUGAACGCUGGCGGCGUGCCUAAUACAUGCAAGUCGAGCGGAAAGGCCCUUCGGGGUACUCGAGCGGCGGACGGCUGAGUAACGCGUAGGAACGUACCCCAAAGUGAGGGAUAACUGCUCGAAAGAGUAGCUAAUACCGCAUGUGCUCUUCGGAGUAAAGCUUCGGCGCUUUGGGAACGGCCUGCGUCCUAUUAGCUAGUUGGUGAGGUAAUUGCUCACCAAGGCGACGAUAGGUAGCUGGUCUGAGAGGAUGAUCAGCCAGACUGGGACUGAGACACGGCCCAGACUCCUACGGGAGGCAGCAGUAGAGAAUUUUCCACAAUGGGCGAAAGCCUGAUGGAGCAACGCCGCGUGCAGGAUGAAGGCCUUCGGGUUGUAAACUGCUUUUAUAGGUGAAGAAUAUGACGGUAACCUAUGAAUAAGGAUCGGCUAACUCCGUGCCAGCCGCCGCCGUAA